rnacentral:rRNA from 1 species
AGUUUACUCUUUAUGGUGGCGACCGGCGGACGGGUGCGUAACGCGUAUGCAACCUGCCUGACACAGGGGGAUAAUCCGAAGAAAUUUGGUCUAAUACCCCAUAAUACCGAUAUAGGCAUCUAUGUUGGUUGAAAGCUUUGGUGGUGUCAGAUGGGCAUGCGUUGUAUUAGCUAGUUGGUGAGGUAACGGCUCACCAAGGCGACGAUACAUAGGGGGACUGAGACACGGCCCAAACUCCUACGGGAGGCAGCAUG